rnacentral:rRNA from 1 species
UUUCUGAAGGCUACACGCCAACAUUGUGAAACGCACUCUCGGGUGCAUUGCUUGGGUGCUUUCGGGCGCCCAACUAUCAACCUAUUUUUUUUUUAAUCUGAAAACCAAGAAAAUUCAAAACUUUCAACAACGGAUCUCUUGGUUCUCGCAUCGAUGAAGAACGCAGCAAAGCGCGAUAGGUAAUGCGAAUUGCAGACGUGAGUCAUUGAAUCUUUGAACGCACAUUGCGCUACUAGGUUCUCCUAGUAGCAUGCUUGUUGGAGCGCCGAUCUUUCUCCUCUACCUGUUUCUUAGGAGACGGGCAGGAGGGUCCUGCUCCCGCCGGGAGUGAAAAGAAUGGAAGUGCACACGUUAGAUAACUCUGUGCAGUUACACUUUUUUAAUUUUGGCCCCCAAUCAAGCAAGGCUACCCGCUGAACUUAAGCAUAUCAAUAAGCGGAGGAA